rnacentral:piRNA from 1 species
UUUCGGAUUCGGUCUUGUUGG